rnacentral:rRNA from 1 species
UACGGGGGGAGCAAGCGUUGUUCGGAAUCACUGGGCGUAAAGGGCGUCUAGGCGGUUUGGUAAGUGGGAUGUGAAAUGCCCGGGCUCACCCCGGGACCUGCAUCCCAAACUGCUGAGCUUGAGUACAGGAGAGGGUGGGGGAAUUCCAGGUGUAGCGGUAAAAUGUGUAGAUAUAUGGAAGAACACCAAUAACGGCGAAGGCAGUUAACUAUUCUGUUACUGACAUUGAGGCACGAAAGCGUGGGGAGCAAAACGG